AAAUUGAAGAGUUUGAUCAUGGCUCAGAUUGAACGCUGGCGGCAGGCCUAACACAUGCAAGUCGAACGGUAACAGGAAACAGCUUGCUGUUUCGCUGACGAGUGGCGGACGGGUGAGUAAUGUCUGGGAAACUGCCUGAUGGAGGGGGAUAACUACUGGAAACGGUAGCUAAUACCGCAUAAUGUCGCAAGACUAAAGAGGGGGACCUUCGGG
rnacentral:rRNA from 1 species